rnacentral:rRNA from 1 species
GAUGAACGCUAGCGGGAGGCUUAAUACAUGCAAGUCGAGGGGUAACGAUGGAGCUUGCUCCAGGCGACGACCGGCGCACGGGUGAGUAACGCGUACACGACCUACCUUAUACUGAGGGAUAGCCCUGGGAAACUGGGAGUAAUACCUCAUAGUAAUAUUUAUUUACGGAUUAAUAUUUAAAGCUCCGGCGGUAUAAGAUGGGUGUGCGUUAGAUUAGUUUGUUGGUAAGGUAACGGCUUACCAAGACUACGAUCUAUAGGGGGCGUGAGAGCGUGAACCCCCACACGGGUACUGAGACACGGACCCGACUCCUACGGGAGGCAGCAGUAAGGAAUAUUGGACAAUGGGGGAAACCCUGAUCCAGCCAUCCUGCGUGCAGGAAGACGGCCCUAUGGGUUGUAAACUGCUUUUGUAUAGGAAGAAUGUGUUCCAUUUAUGGGAUUUUGACGGUACUAUACGAAUAAGCACCGGCUAACUCCG